AGAGUUUGAUCAUGGCUCAGAAUCAACGCUGGCGGCGUGCCUAACACAUGCAAGUCGAACGCGAAAGUGGAGCAAUCCAUGAGUAGAGUGGCAAACGGGUGAGUAACGCGUGGGUGAUCUACCUCUGAGUGGGGGAUAACCUUCCGAAAGGAGGGCUAAUACCGCAUCACAUUGCGCUCUUAGAUGAGUGCGUAUCAAAGCUGGCAACCCGCAAGGGUCUGGCGCUUGGAGAGGAGCCCGCGUCCGAUUAGCUAGUUGGUGAGGUAAUGGCUCACCAAGGCGACGAUCGGUAGCCGGCCUGAGAGGGCGGACGGCCACACUGGGACUGAGACACGGCCCAGACUCCUACGGGAGGCAGCAGUGGGGAAUUGUUCGCAAUGGGCGCAAGCCUGACGACGCAACGCCGCGUGGAGGAUGAAGAAUUUCGGUUCGUAAACUCCUGUCGAGCGGGACGAAAGAUGCGCGGGUUAAUACCCCGUGCAAGUGACGGUACCGCUAAAGGAAGCCCCGGCUAACUCCGUGCCAGCAGCCGCGGUAAUACGGGGGGGGCAAGCGUUGUUCGGAAUUACUGGGCGUAAAGGGCUCGUAGGCGGCCAACUAAGUCACACGUGAAAUCCCUCGGCUCAACCGGGGAACUGCGUGUGAGACUGGAUGGCUUGAGUUUGGGAGAGGAAUGCGGAAUUCCAGGUGUAGCGGUGAAAUGCGUAGAUAUCUGGAGGAACACCGGUGGCGAAGGCGGCAUUCUGGACCAAUACUGACGCUGAGGAGCGAAAGCCAGGGGAGCAAACGGGAUUAGAUACCCCGGUAGUCCUGGCCCUAAACGAUGAAUACUUGGUGUGGCGGGUAUCGAUCCCUGCCGUGCCGAAGCUAACCGCAUUAAGUAUUCCGCCUGGA
rnacentral:rRNA from 1 species